rnacentral:lncRNA from 1 species
AUGUCUCCUUCGCUGCUCUUCUUAGUUGGCGAGUUUGGGUAUGAGGAUGUGUUCAAAGUGAAAUAUGUAAAAUUUUCUUGGAUUAUGGGAGCACAUUUUGCGCGGGUGGCUUACUCACCCCCAUUAUCCGUUCGUACUUUUGGUUCACCUAGUUAUGAGGGAGUCCUCCUUGCUGGUUGUGGACUUGCAAUGGUGGUUUGGAUGCUGUGUUGCGGCUCUGUAAAGGGAUCAGAUAUACCUCAAUCCAAAUCCUAA